rnacentral:sRNA from 1 species
CACUAUGGAUCCUCGUCAUGGAGAGUUGUCACGAGCAAUGAGGAAUCGGGCUAUCGAAAUAUGUCUGCAGCCCGGAGUCACCGGCGGUACGCCAGCGACUCAAGGAAUAUUUUAUACCUCAGAAUCGUCAAUUUACCGCAUUCGCUGCGGUCAAGGUCUCUCACACCAACGAUUGGAUUCGGAAUUAGAACAAAAUGAACUAGAAGUUUUUCUUGAUCACUUGGCUCCGCAUGAUUUUCGCAGGCUCCAGCAAUCAUCCACUUCUAUCGAUAUUUGGGUUGCGAAUACGCAUCCUUCUACAGUUGUGUACCAGACGUUUGAUCGCUACAAUACUUUUUUAAGUCGUGAUACCCUUUCUUUGAAGGGUUUUCUAUGCGAUGGAAGUUGGAAUGAACAUAAAUUUUCCAGCUUUCGCUAUGGGAUUGAGCCGCUGCAUCCAUUGAUCAACGAGCCCCGAGCUGUGGCUUGCAUUAUUCCAGAAUCGCAAGUUCUCUUAGCAAAACUAGCCAAACUCCAAGAGAUACAAUUUGACAUUUGGCAUUUCCACCAAGUCUUGUGUCAAGUUCGUGACUCCGUUUCCAACAAAAAACCUUCGGAAAUGAGCAGACUGGAAAGAUCAGUUGCUUCAAAUAGGAUCCCCACCCUAAUGAAGGAAUCUACCCAACCGGUCGCUUUUUAUCUUUCUAGCUGUAUCCAGGCUUUGAGUG